CUGAGACAUGUGAGAUCUUAGUUCCCCAGCCAGGGAUGGAACCUGAAUCCCAUGCACUGGUUAGAAAAAGAACACUAGAGUCACCAGUGCCCAGAUGAAGAGAGAAGAGAGAAGGCUGCCGUUUCCUUAGAGGAGCCGUGCAGCCCCCACCCCAUGCAUCCUCCUGCUUCUACCCAGGAGGGAACCACGACCCUGACCCUGAGAGGGCUUUCACGUUUCUACACACAAUCCAGAGUCAGAUCCCGGAGUCCCAAGCGACAGACCCAGCUGAGACUGUAUGAAUUCUCUAGGUUAAUUAGGGGAGGGCUGACAUCUUUAAAGCAUGGAGUCUUCAGUCCGUGUACACUGUCUAUGUCUGUCCUCCGUUCAUGCUCAAUACAGAUCUGUAUUGAAGUCUCAUAAAUAUUUGGUUAUUUUCC
ensembl:lncRNA